GUGAGGUCUGUUCUUUCCAGAAGCCUGAAGUGAAGGGGAGAGAGAUUCUGUGCCGGCUGGAGAUUGAGGCGUCCUGAGCAGAGGAACCCCGUGUGCCCUCUCUCUAACCGGGUAACUACAUUCCACGGCUCUGGCUUCCUGCCUCGCACACGACAGCUUCCGGAGAAACGGCUGGUUCUAGGUCUGGGGCAGGGAAAAUACAAGAUGAAACUGGAGCAUCCUGAGGUACCAGAAAGCAAGGAGGUGCUCAAAAGACUAAAGGUGGGGCGUGUUGAAGGGACACAGGAGUCAACGGAAGGAGCUUCCAGUGGCCAAAGCUGAAACAAUUUGAGCAAUAAAAUAACGUUGUAUAGGA